UACGGGAGGCAGCAGUGGGGAAUAUUGCACAAUGGGCGCAAGCCUGAUGCAGCCAUGCCGCGUGUAUGAAGAAGGCCUUCGGGUUGUAAAGUACUUUCAGUCGUGAGGAAGGUGUUAAGGUUAAUAACCUUAGCAAUUGACGUUAGCGACAGAAGAAGCACCGGCUAACUCCGUGCCAGCAGCCGCGGUAAUACGGAGGGUGCGAGCGUUAAUCGGAAUUACUGGGCGUAAAGGGCACGCAGGCGGUUAAUUAAGUUGGAUGUGAAAUCCCCGGGCUUAACCUGGGAAUGGCAUUCAAGACUGGUUAGCUAGAGUCUUGUAGAGGGGGUAGAAUUCCAUGUGUAGCGGUGAAAUGCGUAGAGAUGUGGAGGAAUACCGGUGGCGAAGGCGGCCCCUGGGACAAGACUGACGCUCAUGUGCGAAAGCGUGGGGAGCGAAACAGGAUUAGAUACC
rnacentral:rRNA from 1 species